rnacentral:piRNA from 1 species
GUAUGGGUACAAGUCCCAGGAGCUGUG